GCUAAAAAACUAUCAAUAUGGUUAUUUUUUAAGAAUUUUUCAAUGAAGAAAUUUAACCAUUUUGGAAGUUUUCGUGCAUUAACCAUUAAACGGUUGAAAAGCUUGAAGUUUUUUCAUCGCCAUUUUGAAAGUUACGUGAAGCAAACCGAACGCGUUUCGCAAAAUCUUUUUUUCGCACGGAUAGAAUAAAAUUCCAAAUAAAUAUAUACCUGUGGUUCGGGUGUGCGUGGAGAGAUUCUGAAAGUGCACCAGUUGGAAGAAUCCGCAAGAGUCCGGAUUCAGUUCCGGUGAAACUUAAACGUGACGUCUUGCGCGGGAGUACUAAUUUAUUACCGGAACGAGCGCACCUAUUGCCACAAAAAUUGGUCCCGAUCGUUCUCCUUAUUCUGAUGGAGCUGGGGCGGGUCGGACAACCCAAAAAGCAAGGACCAUCCCCGAUGCAUUUAGCGCUAAGAAGCCGAAAAGCGAACAGUGUAAACCGGUCAAAAAUGAAGGAAUACGCCACCCCAAAAAGCUCCCGUCGGAGCAGAUCAGCUUCGUGACACAGCGGAUGGUCCACAUCAAGUCGGAUGCGAACAAGAUCGUCCGAAAGCCGCUGCUCAAGAAUCGGGAAACAAAGUUUUGGAAACAGGAAUUCUCAUUGCCGAUUACCGGAGAGUCGGGCGGGACCAGAUGUGCAUCAAACCGAACUUUAUGAAGACGGGAGUGUCGUUGAAAUAUGAGAAGGUGGAACAUGGUCGACUCAUUCUGGUGUUCCAGCACCGGGGCAAGAAUAUUGCUAAUAAGGAGGCGAUGCCGCCAUGGCCAGGCUAGGAUUGCCUAUAAGCGUAGGUCGGUUUUCUCAAGCAGACCGAGGGUGUGGACGCGACGCUUAAAAUGGUAGAACCCUGGAUUAUAUGUUCAAAGCAGAAAAUGUGGAAGAGGAACCGAAAAAGAUUCUGAAUACUUCUAAUAUUCAUAUAUUUUUAUGUAUUGUCUAUCACGAUUUUUUAAUUUCAAAACAAAUGAAAAACAUCAAAAUAAACACUACCGGAAACAAGCAUGUUUAACCAACAAGAUAGAAAAUAUAAAAAUUUAAAAGCUAGUAUUUUUUUCUAAAUUUUUAUCUCGAUAUCUUCCAUUUUGCGAUUAGGUUGAAAAAUAACCAUUUUCCCACCUUUCCUCCAUAACUUCUUGCGGUUAAAAAGUAACCAUAUUUCCACUUCUCAAGAGAAGUCAAAAAAUGACUUCUAUGGAAGAAACCAAAAAAUCACUUAACGUGGAAAGGUGUGAAAAUGGUUACUUUUUAACGAUAAUUGGUUAAUUAAUUUCGAGCGUG